GAUUUAGUACAUGGGGGAGAGAAAAGAAGACCUCAUCAGUGUCCACCACAGUCAUGAUGAAAGAGAGGUGCACACUGAGCUUGGCAGUUCCCCACUGAAAAUAUACAGGUGCCAUCAGCCAAACGCGAUUGGGAUUAUCAUACAGUAGAAGGACAGCCCGUGGUCAGAGGUGUGCCAAACCUGUAGAAAACAUGCUGCCUCCUGUUUGGACUUGCCUAUGCCCACAACCUCAAAUAUCACUCAAAACUGGUGUAUACUUCUGAGAUAUAUCUGAGGCUCUUUGUGGGAUUGGACCCCAUGCAUCCUUUUGUAUGUUUUGUAGGCACUGUUAAAAGUGACACUAGUUGACACUGAAAAAAUGUUAUUGUCUUUAA